CUCCGCUCCCCUGCUGUAUGCUCAGUUGGGGCCACACGCUGAUCCGCCCAGCAGCUCAGCCCUCCCACCCGGCCGCUCGGUGCCUGGCCCUGGGGCGCCUCCCCCGCUGCACCCUUGGCAAGCGAAAGUGAAACACGGAGCGGAGCCGAGUCGCUGGGAAAUCCCCCUGACAGAGCCUCCAGCAGCCAGAGACUCGUCUGGGGGGUGACUUCCUGCAGCUAAACAGCACCUGAUCGGGACCCAGGCAUCCCAAGGGCCCUGCCCAACUGUCUGGAUGGCCUCCUCCCCCGAUGCCGAGCUCAGGUGCCUGCUGCAGACGGCCCUGGAUGGGGCACCCAAAAUCAACGAUCGCAGUUCGACGGUGCACGGGUGCCCGGCGCUGCGGGCCUGCCCCGGCUGCGGCGCUCUGGUGAGGCACACCCAGAAGGGCUGCCCCACGGUGUGGUGUGCCGAGUGCCCGUGCUCCUUCUGCUUCCGGUGCCUGAAAGUGGGUUACUGCGGGUACAAGCUCCCCCGGUGCCGCAUCCAGGAGACGCAACGACUGCAGGGCAAGGGAAGCAGCCAGCCCCAGCUGUGAGCCGGGAACAUCUUUGUGUCAACAGGCAGGGGAUAAAUGGACGAGGGGACGGACCCUCCUGCCCACCCCUCCCUUUUGGGGUCCUUGGAAAUUACUCUGGGAGACAAAUCAGCUCUUUGCUGCUGCUACCGCUGUGUUCGGGGACCUCGGGCGUUGGUCCCCCUGAACUGAGAGAUCUUCCGACCAGCCCGGGCCAGAGACGGGGACCCAGGUGCCACCUCCGGCGGCUCCGGCUGAGUGCCGGCCACCAGAUUCGAACAGCUCCGGCCCAUGGCAACGAACUUCUGCUCUUUGGCCCUGGGGGAAUCCCGUGCCCCAUUCUGGCCCCCGCAGUUCCAGCAGGGCGGUGGUUAAAUCGGAGAGGGGCCAGAGGGGGAUUCCCGGAGCACACCGUUGAUGCAGGCAAAGUAAUAACCCCUCCCAAGAAUUGCAGCUGAAAUGGAGGCAUCCAUUCUCACCACGUGUGUAAUUAGCUAGUGGGACAAUUUCCCCAGGGGCGUCUCCAUCCCUGGUAACUCUUAGAGCGAGACAGGCUGUUCUGACAGAUCUGCUCUGGGUUCCCACAGGCCUUGCUCGAGGGCGGGGGGAGCUCUCUGUGUUUUAGGGGGUCGGACUAGGCGAUUGUGUCGAGUGAUGGACGCCGGACUAGCCCGUGCGUGUCCCGUUCCCAGUGUGGAUGGGACGCGGCAGGCAUGUAUCGGGAUGCACUGAGCACGCCCCAGAGAUCUAAUGGGAGGUACGUUCGCUAAAUCGGCCUGUGUGUUCUAUACAAUUCUGCUCACCUGCGCUAAGCGACCCAUCACGCCCGGCGUUCACGCAAGCGUCUGGCCCGAGUCGGUCGUUAACGGCUCGAAAUCAAGGUAGAUUCAUCCUACGGCUUUGUGCUGGCCGGGGAAGCACCUCCAUCGCCCGGCCCCUGGAGCGCCAGGAUCCAAAACCCAGCUAAGGAGGGAACAGAACCAGCGAGGGAGCUGGGGAGGGGAUUAGCAACGGGUCACUUGUGAAAUCGUGGUAGAAAUACCAGCGGCUGAAAUGUGUCACGGGGGGACGCACCACUUCCCGCAGACCGGCACCGCAGAGAACGGCUGUCCUGCACCGUGCGAUUGGCUCACAGGGAACAGGGCUUUUCCAGGAAGCCGGCUGUGGGUGGCUGGGGAAGCCGGGUGAGGCAUGCACACAAACCGGGAAACGACGGCCUAGGAAGGAGAACUGCAAAAACGGACCACAAGCUAAAUAUGAGGCAAUAGUGUGACGCUGUGGCAGAAAAAGGGAACAUGGCUCUGGGCAGGCAUGUUGUAAGCAAGACAGGAGAAGUGAUUCUUCCGCUCAGCUCUGCACUGAUUAGACCGCAGCUGGAGGAUCGUGUCCAGUUCUGGGCGCCACAGUGCAGGAAAGAUGUGGACAAAUUGGAGAGAGUUCAGAGGAAAGCAACAAAAACUAUGAACGAUCUAGAAAAAUAUGCCCUGCAUGGGAAGAUUGAAAACCCUGGGUUUGUUUAGCCUGGAGAGGAGACGACCGAGAGGGGACGUGAGAAUAGUUUUCAAGUACGUAAAAUCGUUGAUCAGCUGCCUCCCGGCUGGGUCGGGGAAAUUGCUAAGAGCCCGUGGCACUGGGGAGCUGCAGAAAGCAGACGGAGGUUGUACGGGAGCCUGUGGGCGGGGGGAGGAAUCCAGCUAUUUUAGGGACACCCCCCCCCCCGCAGAUUCUCCAGGCGAGGGGCCACCCAGCCACGCUGGGCCGGGGCGCUGCUCCGCUGGGACGCUUUGGUCCCAUUCGCUGGUUAACGCGUGGGGCAGAACUGGUCUGAUUUUCCACCCGGACGUGUUUAAUUUAGCACGGCGCUGCUGGUGAAAACGGGCGCCGUCGCCUUCGUUCAAAGUCCAGGCCUGAGGGCUGGAAAACACAGACCAACUAGUGCCAAUCCCCCGGAUGCCCAGGGAGAGGCGGCUUUGCCCAGAGCCGUGGGUGAGCCAGAGGUCUUGCAGCGGACGCCGUGCUCGUGUCAAACACGGUACCAGCGCACGGGGCGCCGGGCUUAUGGGGAAAACCCUUCCCCGGGCCGGGACCGGUGCGUGGGAACAGGCCGUGUGACAGGCCCCUCUGGCUGAACGAGAACGCACAUGGGGGUUAGAAAGCCGGGCGAUGUUACGAUUUCACGGCCCGGAAACAGCCCUGGAACCAUCCACAGCAGCAAAACCGUGACAGGUGCAAAGGGGGGAACUGAGGCACAACCCAGUCGCGGCCGGCUCGGCUAGAUGUCGCAGCGAGAGCCCUCUGGAGAACGCUGUUUGAAUCGGGUGGUCGGGGCUGGCGUUGGGUUUGCUGGGACCGGGGCCGGAGCUCGAGGCUAUGGAUAUCCUGCCAGGGAGCUGUAAGAGAACCGUAGGGCCCCCAAGCUGGUGUCUCCGAUUGGCUUAUGCUUGGUCUGGGGAGGCUUGAUUCGUAACCCUGAGGUCUCCAACCCCCUGCUAAUCCCCGGGGCUGAAUCUGAACCAGCUCCGUAUAUGGCCUGCCCGUUCGGACGGUAACCCGAUGAACUGAUCCUGGAAGGAACUUUCUGCAACCAGCGUUGCUACGAAGCUGCGCUAAGAACUUUACUCGUCUCUGUAGGUAUCAUGAUCUUAAUCACAAUCGUCCCUCUCUUUGCUGUGUUAAUAAAUCCUAGUUUAAGAACUGG